rnacentral:rRNA from 1 species
AACGAACGUUGGCGGCGUGGAUUAGGCAUGCAAGUCGAACGAGAAAGCACCCUUCGGGGUGUGAGUAAAGUGGCGAACGGGUGAGUAACGCGUGGGGAACCUGCCCUUGAGUGGGGGAUAACGUUCCUAACGGAGCGCUAAUACCGCAUAACACCGGAACCAGGCAUCUGGAUCCGGUCGAAGAUGGCCUCUGUUUCAAGCUGUCGCUUAAGGAUGGCCCCGCGUCCGAUUAGCUUGUUGGUGGGGUAACGGCCUACCAAGGCUACGAUCGGUAGCCGGCCUGAGAGGGUGUCCGGCCACACUGGGACUGAGAUACGGCCCAGACUCCUACGGGAGGCAGCAGUCGAGAGGCUUCGGCAAUGGGGGAAACCCUGACCGAGCGACGCCGCGUGGGUGAGGAAGGUCUUCGGAUCGUAAAACCCUGUCAGGGGGGACGAAAACCGG